CAUUUACUUGCUUCUUAAUCUCAUGGCUUCCCUGACGGAGCCUACUGCUCACUAGCCAUCUCGAAGGUAGGGAGGGUCAACUCGCACUACGAACCGAGACCGUCUGCCGGGGCCUAAAUAGGCAACCCUUGGGACCCAAAAUAGGCGAUCCCACGUGACCAACAUCCGGAGCGCACUACUUGUGUGGGGCUUCCAUCACAAGAUUUAGAAACAGGCCGUGAGCAUGAUCCAAUCCUCGUCUCGAGAAUACCCUAUCCUCUAGGGUUACAAUCAUCAUAUAGUCCAUAGGUUCCAUAUACACUACGACUCACAUAUGUCACUCGUUCUUUCGCUUAUUCACUAUCAACUAGAUGCCACUCGUUCUUUACAAGUUUCCAAUGCAAUAGCCAAUACAUUACUAAACUCUCAUUCACACGUAUCAUCUCAUUAUAGGGUUCCACAUCACAUAUAUAAACCUCAAGCAUGCUGAAUAUAAGUGCCAAGCCCAAAUACAUUAUUCUACCAAAGAACAUGCAAGGUAUAGGACCAAAUCACCAUUUAUCCCCCUAUAAUGCAGAUGUCAAUAUAUCAAUAUGCAAUUUGAUCAAUAUAGAGCUUAGACAUAAAAGGGAGCCCGAUUGCUUCGGGAUGGACACCACCCACCUCUUGGCGAUGCCGCGAUGGUAGAAACUCGGCAUUGGGGUUCUUGCGCGUCGCCCUAACUCCUCGGGGCGAAGCGAGCCCUCUAGUACCCGAUUCGGCGAUUUCUCCGCACCCGCUCGUCGGAUCGAGAAACCGACUUCGCCGAUGCGUUCCGGGACCUAGCAAUUAGGUUUGCGACCUAAUAGAUUAGAUCAACACCCUAGAUUUCCAAAAUCCCCAAAUCCGUGCCCUAGAAUAGCAACGGGGGAGAAAUCCGGGGUGCAAGCUUCGAUUGCGAGCUCGAACCUUCUCCCUAGUUCCAUNCGGAGCGUCGCCGCUCUUAACCUUCCUCGCCGCCGCACGCGGCCGCCUCGUCCUCGCGGGGCUCCGCAGCGGGCCCGACCGCACUCCGCUGCCGCCGCCACCGGGGGCCCGCUCAUCAUCCUCGACGCCGCUGCCGCCGCCACCUUCGCCGCCCCCACCUACCCGAUCUCGAGCCCCACCUAUGCCGAGAAGGUGGGCUGCCGAGGCGGUGCUACACGAUGCCGCAGGGAGGAGAAAGAGGAGAAAGAAUGAGGAAGAAGAGUAAGAAAUAAAAAUAGUGUAAAUUGAAGGAAGAAGAAGAAAAAAAAUAGUGUAAAUUUCACCUAAAUUGUCACGCCCCGAAAGCGAUACCAAUUUGGUUCGGCCCGGGCGCGUCGAACAGACGCCGAACGGACAGGACCUCCCCUGUCCGUCCAAGGCUAACCAACAGAUCGUGCAUAAGAAUUUACCCAGGAAUCAAUUCAUAAAUACACGAUCAAUAAGCACCACUAGUGCUAUAAACAAGAGCAAGAUACAAGUAUAGAAACAUAUACAAGUACAUAAGAGAGAAGAGACUAUCUAUUACAUUCAUUUGAUUUACUACAUUUAGAUACAUCUUUUACAUUCUUCCAAAAUAUAAAUACAAGCACUCAACCCUCACCCUAUACAACAUCUACUCUCAAAUACAAAAGGGGUGACGGCUAAUGCAAGAAAAGGAGGUAGCUAAUGCGACUAGAACGCCGGGCCCUUACCGCGAUCCUCACGCUCACCGGGGACGCCCGAACUGGAACCUGUGGUAAAAUGGGGGUGAGAACUAACUUCCUUAGUUCCCAGUGGGUUCGGCCGCCGACUCCGCCGAUCUCCCCACUAGGUCCAAGCGGGCAUAAGUAGACAAUCGAUAGAUAGGUAGAUAGAUAAGGAAAGCUGUAAAUGGCGGAAAUGAAGCUACGCUACCAUGCCCAAUCAUAAGUAUAUGAAUGCAUGUCCAAUGAAAUAGGUAAGCAACUAAUCUGUUAUCAUGUCCAAGGGUGAAGCUAUUCACUCGUUCAUUAACCUCAUUUACUUGUUCAUUAAUCUCAUGGCUUACCCGAAGGCUCGCCUACAGCUCACUAGCCAUCUCGACACGUAGGGAGAAUCAACUCACACUACGGACCCGAGACCGUCUGGCGGGGCCAUAUAGGCAAUCCCUGGCGUGACCAACAUCCGGAGCGCACUACUUGUGUGGGGCUUCCAUCACAAGAUUUAACAGACCGUGAGCAUGAUCCAAUCCUCUAAGCUCGAGGAUACCCUGUCCUCUAGAGUCACAAUCAUCAUAUAGUCCAUAGGUGUCGCAUACACUAUUAACUAGAUUGUCCGUUUGUCCGCUAUCGACUAGAUGCCACUCGUUCAUAGUUUACUAUUAACUAGAUGCCACUCGUUCAUAGUUCAUCAUUUUCUCUACAUCAUAGGAUUCACAAUCUCGACCCAAUCCUUAUCAAUCCAAUAUAUCAAUUAUCCGAUGUACGCUACGAUACCAUGAAGGAAAAACAUAAGGAAAGGCAAUGCAUACUAAUCCUAUAAUGCAAUAAUACAAGAUGCAAGAUCAAAUAUACUAAGACAUAGGAGGGAGCCCGAUUGCUUCGGGAUGGACACCACCCACCUCUUGGCGAUGCCGUGAUAGUAGAAAACUCGACGUUGGGGUUCUUGUACGCCGCUUCAACUCCUCGGGGCGAAGCGAGCCCUCGAGUACCCGAUUCGGCGAUUUCUCCGCACCCGCUCGUCGGAUCGAGAAACCGACUUCGCCGACGCGUUCCGGGACCUAGCAAUUAGGUUUGCGACCUAUUAGAUUAGAUCAAAACCCUAGAUUUACCAAAAACCCAAUUCCGUGCCCUAGGAUGGCAACGGGGAAGAAAUCCGUGGUGCGAGCUUCAAUUGCGAGCUCGAACCUUCUCCCUAGUUCCAUUAGGUCCCAUUCAAACCAUAAAAACCCCAAAACCCUAGAAACACCAUUAAAGGGUUUAGAGCUUACCCCUACACAAGGUUCCUUCAAGCUUGAGGGAGAGGGAGAGAAGAAGAUAUCUUCUUCUUCUUCUUCUUCUUAGUCUUCUCUUUCUCUUUCUUCUUCUUUCUCUUCUUCUUCUCCUUCCUCUUCUUCUUCUCCUUCUUCUCUUUCUUUUCUUUUCUUUCCUAGAGAGAGGAGAAUAGUGAGAGAGAGAGAGAGGAAGAGAGCAACUGAGGGAGAGAGAGGGGUCCCCAAGCCCUAUUAAAGGCCAUUUUGCAACUAGCCCCCUCAACUUUUCAUCUUUAGAAUCAGCCCUCAUUGGGCAUUUUCGCAGUGAGGGACCGGUCUCCCCGACUUGGGACCGGUCCCCGAAGGCUGCCAUUUCGAGCAGAGGGGUUUUCGCGUUCGGGAACCGGUCCUUGCCUGAGAGACCGAUCCCCGGGAGACCGGUCCUAGUCCGAGAGAUCGGUUCCCGAAAGCUGAGUUUUCGGGACUUAGCCAAAUUUCGGCUAUUUUCGCUGGGCCAACGUUCGGGAACCGGUCCCUGCCUGCCAGGGACCGGUCUCAUCAUAGACCUCCGCAGCCCAGCCUGAUGGGACCGGUCCCUCCCUGCCAGGGACCGGUCCCCGAGAGCAUUUCUGCUCCAGUGCAAGUUUUGCAUUGGUGCUCUCGCGGACCUUUCCUUAAUGCACUUUAUGCACUAUAAUCACCUUCGCACUUUCCGAAGCUUACGCACUCGACAACUAGUCGAUUCUAAUCGAAGUCUAAUCCUCGAGUUUCGAGAAUUCACUUCCUUACAUCCUUCCCACCUUAAAAGAGUUUCGUCCUCGAAACGAACUCAAUACUACAAAAACUUAAUUAGAAUUUCAAAUUCUAAGCUCAUACCUCGAUUUAGCCUUCGAAUAGGCGAUGAUGAUUCGCCUUCAUCUCCUCCUCAAGCUCCCAGGUGGCUUCGCGAUCAUCAUGAUUGCUCCACCGGACUCGGACAUAAGGAAUUUCUCGAUUCCUUAGCUUGUGCACUUCACGAGCGGUAAUCGCCACCGGAAAUUCCUCGUAGCUCAAGUCCUCCUGAAGUUCCGGCGGCUCGUACAACAUUGCGUGCUCGGGAUCAGGUAUGUACUUGCGCAAAUUGGAGACGUGGAAUACGUUGUGCACAUCUGCAAGCUUUGGCGGCAACGCGAGCCGAUAAGCCACCGUCCCAAUCCGCUCCAAGAUCUCGUAGGGGCCAAUGUAUCGGGGACUUAAUUUUCCCCGAACUCCAAAUCGUUUUACACCCCUCAUAGGCGAGACCUUUAAGAAGACGCGGUCGCCCACCGCAAACUCUAGAUCCCGUCGGCGCCUGUCCGCAUAGCUCUGUUGUCGAGAUUGCGCCGUGAGUAACCGCUUGCGAGCAAGGCGGACCUUUUCUUCCGCUUCCCGCAGCACAUCGGGGCCAAAUUCCGUGCGCUCGCCCACGUCACUCCAAUAAAUGGGAGAGCGGCACUUCCGCCCAUAAAGAGCUUCGAACGGUGCCAUCUCCACACUAGCGUGAUAACUGUUGUUGUAGGCGAACUCGACCAUUGGCAAAUACUUACACCAACCUCCUUUGUAAUCGAUGACACACACUCGCAACAUAUUCUCCAGAGUCUGAAUGGUUCUUUCAGUUUGUCCGUCUGUCUGGGGAUGAAAUGCAGUACUGAAAUUGAGCCGCGUGCCAAGGGCCUCCUGCAGGCUUUUCCAGAAAUGUGAGGUAAACUUGGGGUCUCUAUCCGACACAAUCGACUUUGGUACCCCGUGUAACCUCACUACUUCGUCGAGAUAUACCUGUGCCAACUUAUCUCCCGCCCAGGUGGUGUGGACCGGCAAAAAAUGCGCUGACUUCGUCAAGCGAUCCACAAUCACCCAGAUUGCGUCAUGGCCCCCCGUUGAGCGAGGUAAGCCAACGAUGAAGUCCAUAGAUAUGUCCUCCCAUUUUCAGACGGGAAUAGGUAGGCUUUGAAGCUUUCCCGCUGGAAACCGGCGCUCCACCUUUACUUGCUGACAAGUCAAACACUUCGUCACGAAGCGCCCAAUAUCAGCUUUCAUCCCCGGCCACCAUAGAGUGCUUUCAACUCAUGAUACAUCUUGGUGCCGCCUGGGUGAUCCGCGUAUGGAGACCGGUGGGCUUCCUGCAAGAUCAGCUAGGGAAGCUCUUCAUUCUCGGGCAUGCACCAUCGGUUUCGAAACCGAAGCGCGCCACCGGCGUCCACACUAAAAUUGCCAUCUCGUCCUUCCUCGAUAUUGCGCCGCACUCUUUGGAGACUCGGAUCUGCAAGUUGCAAUUUCUUGAUCCUCUCCAAUAAUGUUGGUUGAAUAAUGAGCGCCAUCAACUGAGCCGGGACCUCGGGAGCGACCACUUCGAGGUCCAAUCGCUCCAUCUCCAGCCCUAGGGGCGCUUGCCGGGUAACAUCAAAGGCGAGGUUCUUCGCCGACUUUCUGCUAAGUGCCUCCGCGACCACAUUUGCUUUGCCGGGGUGGUAGAGAAUGUCAACGUCAUAAUCAAGUCUAUAACGAACUCGAUCUCCUGAUCCGGCGGCAUCCCCGCUAGCUCCGCGAGAAAUACAUCCAGGAAUUCCCGCACCACCGAUAGUUCCUCCAACUUCGGAGCUACUCGGUCCACUUCCACGACGGUCGCCAAAAAUGCUACGCAGCCGCCGUUAACCAACUUCCUAGCUCUCGUCGCUGAUACUGUCGCGACGAAGCAAGAACUCCGACAAGCUCGAUAAACGAACUCCCUCUGUCCUGGCUCCCGAAAGGUGAUUGAUUUAUUCUUACAAUCGAUCGUGGCGUAAUACCUUGAGAGCCAGUCCAUGCCCAAAAUGACGUCAUACGCCUCUAGUUUAGUAAGUUCCAACAUCCGGAUGGGCAUUAUCCAGUCACCCACUUGCACCGGACAUAACGAGCACUCCGUAUAGGUAUUAAAUGACGACUCGGGACCCUCGACUCGCCACUUGCCACUUGCUUCUAUAGGUAUGUCAUGCAUGCGUGCAAAUGCUCUACUAAUAAAUGAAUGUGUGGCACCCGUGUCGAACAUAGCUCUGGAGCGAACUCCAUUGAUUAGAACUAUACCUGCCACAACAUCAGGCUCCUCGGCUUGGGCAGGCUCCUCGGCAUGGGCCUGAGCGGCGAAUACCCGUCCGCUCGGCGCUGAUCGAGUCAUCUCCGGCUGGUGCGGCGCCAAUGCGCGUCCCGCCGAUACAGGAACAUACGGGGCCCCUCCUUGAUAGGGCGAGGGCGCUGGAGCCGACGCGACUGACGGAGUAGACGAGGCCCUUGCCGGACAGUCGCGGCUGAUGUGUCCUUCUUGUCCACAAUUAAAGCACCUUCCCUGUCGUUGUCUACACUGCGGUGCCCGAUGGCCUCGAUCUCCACAGAUAGGGCAACGCUGCGGCCCACGGCCCCACGACUGCGACCGCGGAUACUUCGGGGGCCUCCUCGAACUCGAUUGUCCCCCCGAACCGCCGCCCGAUCGCUUCUUCCCCUUGUCCUGGGAUCCGGCCAACAACUCACGUUCCUCUCGCACGCGGGCAUCUCCAUGCUCUGCCCAUAGCGCCUUAUUGAAGACCUCGGCGAAAGUCGUGAGCUGGAACAAUUGCACCGCUCUAUAUAUCCACGGCCGAAGUCCUUGCAAGAACCAUUCGGCCCGCUCCGCGUCAUCCUUAACCACGUCCGGGACGCAGUCUAUAAUGUGGGAGAACUCCUGUUCGUAGUCCGCCACCGGACGAUCCCCCUGUCUCAAUUUUCAAAACCUCUCCUUUAGCUUUCGCUUCUCGGUGUCGGGGAAAUAAUUUCCAAACAUCUCCUUCUUAAACUCCUCCCAGAGCAUCGGUGGAAGGUCACAGGGUCGAUCCCGCUUCAACCGCUUCCACCACACCUUCGCCGCCUUUUCGAGGCAAUGGGUGGCGAGGGGCACCUUAUCCUUCUCCGGGGUGUAUAGGUCCUCGAAGAGAGUCUCCAUAGAGUCUAUCCAAGACUCCACCACCGACGGCUCCACAUUUCCCCCUUCAAAAGUUGGUGGCUUAAACUUCAUAAACCUUAUUAGAGUCGUUAGCGCACGCUCCCGCUCCACUUCGUCGGCCGUCGUAUCGAGUGCCGCCGAACCCGAAGCUGUCGGAGGAGCACUUGUCGGCGGGGGAACUGCCGCCAUCGGAACUGCCGCUAUGCCCUCACCCUCGGUCGCUACCGGCGUGCGUGCCGAAGGUGCGGGCGGAUCGCGAUCUCCUGCCGCCGUCGCGGCCGCCGCCGCUGCCGCUUGCCGCUCCACAACUUCCUGGAGCUGCUCGAACCGAGCCUCCUGGCGCUGCAUCGCGCCCAACAUCGCAGCGACCUGCUCUCGCAGCUCCUGCACUUCCUCCGAUCUCGGCUGCUCGGGCUCCGCAGAAGGCGGUACCGGAGCAGACCUACGCACAUAACGCCUUGGGGACAUUUGCUCCUGAAAAGCAACAACUCAAUUAGUUAUCUUAAUCCGGUAACUUCCUCAACGUUCACGAAACUAAACGUCCCGACAACGAAAUCGGGCGGAAGCUCACAAGUGCUCUAGUGUUGGACUCUUAGUGUUGCGUCGUCGGCCGCCGACACAACCACUACAAGCCAGGAACUAGUGUCACUUGGAUUCGUCUCUAUUCACAGCUAGAGACACAACACCAACUUCGACCCAAUCAAUCAACUUCCGCCAUCGCCAUGGGUCACGUUCACUCACGUCCCUAUAACCUUAGGGUUUACCAACCUAGGGUCUCCUAGGUCAUCCUAGACACUCUCUUUACUUGCUCUGGUGCUCUGAUACCACUUUAUCUGUCACGCCCUGAAAGCGAUACCAAUUUGGUUCGGCCCGGGCGCGUCGAACAGACGCCGAACGGACAGGACCUCCCCUGUCCGUCCAAGGCUAACCAACAGAUCGUGUAUAAGAAUUUACCCAGGAAUCAAUUCAUAAAUACACGAUCAAGAAGCACCACUAGUGCAACGACCAAGAGCAAGAUACAAGUAUAAAAACAUAUACAAGUACAUAAGAGAGAAGAUAUAAUCUAUUACACUCAUUGGCUCAAUACAUUUAAGUACAUCUUUUACAUUCAUCCAAAAACAUAAGUACAAGCACUCAACCUCACCCUAUACAUCAUCUACUCUCAAGUACAAAAGGGUGACGGCUAAUGCAAAAAGGGAGGUAGCUAAUGCGACUAGAAUGCCGGGCCCUUACCGCGAUCCUCACGCUCACCGAGGACGCCCGAACUGGAACCUGUAGUAAAAUGGGGGUGAGAACUAACUUCCUUAGUUCCCAGUGGGUUCGGCCGCCGACUCCGCCGAUCUCCCCACUAGGUCCAAGUCGGGCACAAGUAGAUAAUCGAUAGAUAGAUAGAUAAGGAAAGCGGUAAAUGACAGGAGUAAAGCUACUCUACUAUGCCCAAUCAUAAAUAUAUGAAUGCAUGUACAAUGAAAUAGGUAAGCAGCUAACCUGUUAUCAUGUCCAAAGGUAAAGCUAUUCACUCGUUCGUUUACCUCCUUUACUUGUUCAUUAAUCUCAUGGCUUACCCGAAGGCUCGCCUACAGCUUACUAGCCAUCUCGAAGGUAGAGAGGGUCAACUCGCACUACGAACCGAGACCGUCUGGCGGGGCCAAAUAGGCAAUCCCUUGGGACCCAAAAUAGGCAAUCCCACGUGACCAACUCCGGAGCGCACUACUUGUGUGGGGCUUCCAUCACAAGAUUUAAAACAGACCGUGAGCAUGAUCCAAUCCUCGUCUCGAGAAUACCCUAUCCUCUAGGGUUACAAUCAUCAUAUAGUCCAUAGGUUCCAUAUACACUACGACUCACAUAUGUCACUCGUUCUUUCGCUUAUUCACUAUCAACUAGAUGCCACUCGUUCUUUACAAGUUUCCAAUGCAAUAGCCAAUACAUUACUAAACUCCCAUUCACACGUAUCAUCUCAUUA
rnacentral:lncRNA from 1 species